rnacentral:rRNA from 1 species
GUGGGGAAUCUUAGACAAUGGGGGAAACCCUGAUCUAGCCAUGCCGCGUGAUCGAUGAAGGCCUUAGGGUUGUAAAGAUCUUUCGCUGGGGAAGAUAAUGACUGUACCCAGUAAAGAAGCCCCGGCUAACUCCGUGCCAGCAGCCGCGGUAAUACGGAGGGGGCUAGCGUUAUUCGGAAUUACUGGGCGUAAAGCGCACGUAGGCGGACUGGAAAGUUGGGGGUGAAAUCCCGGGGCUCAACCUCGGAACUGCCUUCAAAACUCCCAGUCUUGAGUUCGAGAGAGGUGAGUGGAAUUCCGAGUGUAGAGGUGAAAUUCGUAGAUAUUCGGAGGAACACCAGUGGCGAAGGCGGCUCACUGGCUCGAUACUGACGCUGAGGUGCGAAAGCGUGGGGAGCAAACAGGAUUAGAAACCCGUGUAGUCC